AGGGACUAAAGAGACAAACAACUCGUUAAUUCUGCAUUGUUUUUUUUUUAUUUGUUUUGUUGGCCCUAAUAAUUUUCUUUCAAAGGAUAUUGCGUUUUUCAUGUGCUUUUUUUUUUUUUUUUCAAACCAAUCCAGAAGGCUCGUUUCGACCUCUCAAGAAGGUUGCUGCUUGGCAAGACGCGCAAAUGAUGGUUUCAUACACAUGAAUU
rnacentral:lncRNA from 1 species